rnacentral:rRNA from 1 species
ACAGAGGGUGCAAGCGUUGUCCGGAAUCACUGGGCGUAAAGGGCGCGUAGGCGGCCUGAUAAGUAGGAGGUGAAAUCCUGGGGCUUAACCUCAGGGCUGCCUUCUAGACUGUCCGGCUCGAGCACAGUAGAGGCAGGUGGAAUUCCCGGUGUAGCGGUGGAAUGCGUAGAGAUCGGGAAGAACAUCGGUGGCGAAGGCGGCCUGCUGGGCUGUUGCUGACGCUGAGGCGCGACAGCGUGGGGAGCAAACAGGAUUAGAUACCCUGGUAGUCCACGCCGUAAACGAUGGGUACUAGGCGUCGGGGGGAGCGACCCCCUCGGUGCCGUCGCUAACGCAGUAAGUACCCCGCCUGGGGAGUACGGCCGCAAGGCUG